UGGGGAAUAUUGGACAAUGGGCGCAAGCCUGAUCCAGCCAUGCCGCGUGAGUGAUGAAGGCCCUAGGGUUGUAAAGCUCUUUCACCGGUGAAGAUAAUGACGGUAACCGGAGAAGAAGCCCCGGCUAACUCCGUGCCAGCAGCCGCGGUAAUACGGAGGGGGCUAGCGUUGUUCGGAUUUACUGGGCGUAAAGCGCACGUAGGCGGACUAUUAAGUCAGGGGUGAAAUCCCGGGGCUCAACCCCGGAACUGCCUUUGAUACUGGUAGUGUUGAGUUCGAGAGAGGGGAGUGGAAUUCCGAGUGGAGAGGGGAAAUUCGGAGAUAUUCGGAGGAACACCAGUGGCGAAGGCGGCUCACUGGCUCGAUACUGACGCUGGGGUGCGAAAGCGUGGGGAGCAAACAGG
rnacentral:rRNA from 1 species